UAUCUAUUUUUGUUAAAAAAACAAUACAAAUAUUAAAUUUUGUUACAGUUCCACUUGAUUGAUUAUUUCAAUAUUAUGCUUUUAUUCAUUAUAAAAGUUAAAAUAAAAUAAAUUCAUAAUUCAUAAAAAAUAGAAAAUGAAACCCAUGAGGAUUAGCUCAAGCUCAACGAAAGUGGGUUGAAUCUCGGAGUUCAAAUCUCUAAGAGGGAUCGUAUCAUUUAUUACUCCAACCUCUUUAGUUGGCUGAAAUAGCAAUGCAUUACAACAUAAUUCAGUGGGCCCAUCACCAAACCAUUGUUUGGUUGGUUGUAAUUUCAGCCAAAUUCCAUUAUGGGUUUAUUCAACUGAAAAUGCAUCACACCAUUCAGUAUUCAGGACAUGGGUUGUAUAACAAAUUAGCCAAGGUUUUCAUUUUACCCUCACUAUUCUCCUUUCUUUCCCACUUCUUAAAUCCUUGAUUUUUUUUUCCGUGUUUCUUCCCCAACUUAAUCUCUUCUACACUUAAUUUAAACAUUUUUUUAAUCACAUUUCCUUCUAACCCUAUCUGCAUCACACACCAAAACUCUUUUUCUCUUCAAAUUGGAAAUUCUUGAUAGCUUAAUCCACUGAAAAAAAAAAAGUGAAGCAUUUUUUGAGUCGUCUCGCAGGAUCCAAGAUCCGGUAAGUUUUAAUUUGGAUCCAAAUUUCAAAUCCCCUAGAUCUGUACAUAUUCUUAUAAUGGGUUUUGGUUUAUAGAUCUAAUCUCCCAAUUCUUAGUUUAUUUGAUACUCUUUUAUCAAAUUGUAAACCUUUUGCAUUAAUAUGAAUCUUUUAUUUUUCAGUAGUUUCUGUUGAAAUUGCUAUUUUAUGUUAUUCAUUGUUACUUUUUUUUUAUUGUGUAUAUGGAUGUACUGCUUUUCAAGUUGAUUUCAAUGGAAUUAUUGUAUAAUUGCGCUUGUGGGUUCUUUUCUGGGUUUUUACUAUUUCAAUGUACCUAUAUUAGAUAAUGGCUAAAAGAAUUGCAUACAACUCCGUUUUCAAUAUUUUAUUUCUAUUAUCUUCUAAUGUAACAUGUUUCAUCUUUGUUUCUCUUGAUUGGGUGUCAAAUAUUGGUCCUUUAUGUUCCCAAAGAUCCUGUCAUUUUUGAAACAAGGGAAGAAACAGAGUUAAAUAAUGAACUACAACGAACGAUGAUGAAGAUCCUUGAAGAUGAGGAUUGUGUAUUGUGAGAUAAAUAAUUAUGCAUAUCAAGGAUCGAAGGCAGUGUUAUGGGCCAAAACAGAAAUCAGGACAUUUAAGGAGCUAAGUAGAAUGGUGCAUUGACUCUUGUACUUAAAUUUGACUUUAUUUGAUUCGCUCUUUCUGCUUUUUGGAUCAUUUGUCAACCUUACAGAAAUGUUCUUGGAUCUGAUUAAUGAGUUUCUUAUUUUUUUUUUUCAUCAGAUUUGAUCACUUGGUUUAGGACUUGAACUCUCUUUAGAAUUUAAUUUUUUUCCCAUUGUGUUGUGUUUUCAAGGUAAGAUUCAUUUAUCAUGUCGAACGUAAAUGUAUUAGUCAUUUUGUUUUCUCA